rnacentral:lncRNA from 1 species
UUUUUCCUAUUUGCUCAGUGGAUAACUCAAUCGUCUCUUUUGUUGCUUACAAUCAGAUAUCUAACAAGGGAAUUUUCACAUGAACAGAAACAAAAAUGCAAAAGAAAUAGUCAAAAGACGCGAAAACAAUAAAAAUAAAAGUACAACAAUCGGGUCUACGAAAAUUGUAUCAUCAACCUCCUAAAGCACGCUUGGGUUGCUCGGGUGUCAUUCUCGUAGAAAACUUAACUUCAAACAUGAGCUUCAAAUCACCUCAGUUCCCUAGCUCCUUGGUGAUUGACAUACCUUGGGAAACCAAUAGCUCUUAACUUGGGCUCACAAUGAUGUUCACUGGGAUAAAAAAUAUUAUGUGGCUUAUCAUUAAUUACAAACACGAGGUCCGCAGCCUGGCUUUAAAUCGAUAGUCAAUAUCUCCGUUUUUGGCCUUAAUCAUCCUCAACAAAUCCAUUCAAAUAAGGAAUUUUUGAGACUUUAACUCCCUGACUUAUGCUCCACUAUCAGUACUAAUACAUUCAGAGACAAAUUUAGGAAAAUAGAAACUUUUUACAACCAACAGAACAAAGUAACUGAAAAGCUCCAAAACACCAUACAUAGACAAAGUGUAAUCAAUCAUAGCAGGGAGUCCAAGGUUGAAGAAGAUGAUUGUGGAAAUGAGGCUAGUGUUACUUUUUUGGGAUGAGGGAUGAAGAUGAUACAGGGAUUAACGUGUGUCCAAAUGACCAGACCUCACGGUGGAGAAAAGAUCAAGCAAUCGUGAAUACGGAGUACCUGAAAAUGGAGCGGUGAUUCCGGAUCGUAGAUCUGAAAAUUCAAAGAAGUUGAGCUACGAAUUGCGGACAGCAGUGCUUUCGAUGGAAAAUUCCCUCGGUGGAUCCAUUCACCGGAACUACUACCAACAGUCGUUCAUGUGAGCAUUGUUGCGGCGAACUCCGGUGACAGUAACUAAAGAGGAAGAGAAGCCGAUGGAGAAGGUAGAGGAGAGAGAAAAGACUAAUUAGAGUGGG